rnacentral:rRNA from 1 species
UACGUAGGGGGCAAGCGUUGUCCGGAUUUAUUGGGCGUAAAGAGCGUGUAGGCGGCCAGAUAGGUCCGUUGUGAAAACUCGAGGCUCAACCUCGAGACGCCGAUGGAAACCAUCUGGCUAGAGUCCGGAAGAGGAGAGUGGAAUUCCCGGUGUAGCGGUGAAAUGCGCAGAUAUCGGGAAGAACACCCGUGGCUAAGGCGGGUCUCUGGACAGUUCCUGACGCUGAGGCACGAAGGCCAGGGGAGCAAACGGG